GUGCCAGCAGCCGCGGUAAAACGUAGGAGGCAAGCGUUAUCCGGAUUUACUGGGCGUAAAGCGCGUGCAGGCGGUUCCAUAAGUGGGAUGUGAAAGCUCCUGGCUCAACUGGGAGAGGUCGUUCCAGACUGUGGGACUCGAGGGUGGUAGAGGGAGGUGGAAUUCCGGGUGUAGUGGUGAAAUGCGUAGAUAUCCGGAGGAACACCAGUGGCGAAAGCGGCCUCCUGGACCAUCUCUGACGCUCAGACGCGAAAGCUAGGGUAGCAAACGGGAUUAGAAACCCCGGUAGUCC
rnacentral:rRNA from 1 species